GAUAAACGCUAGCGGCAGGCUUAACACAUGCAAGUCGAGGGGCAGCAUUGAUUGUAGCAAUACAAUUGGUGGCGACCGGCGCACGGGUGCGUAACGCGUAUGCAACCUACCCGUCACAGGGGGAUAAUCCGGAGAAAUCUGGUCUAAUACCCCAUAACAUAUGGAUCGGACUCGGUUCAUGUUGAAAUUUUCGGAGGUGACGGAUGGGCAUGCGUAGCAUUAGCUUGUUUGUGAGGUAACGGCUCACCAAGGCGACGAUGCUUAGGGGGACUGAGUGGUUUUCCCCCCACACUGGUACUUAGACACGGACCAGACUCCUACGGGAGGCAGCAGUGAGGAAUAUUGGUCAAUGGGCUCAAGCCUGAACCAGCCAUGCCGCGUGCAGGAUGACGGCUCUAUGAGUUUUAAACUGCUUUUGUACAGGGAUAAAUCGGGAUACGUUUAUUCCGUUGAAUGUACUGUACGAAUAAGUAUCGGCUAACUCCGUGCCAGCCGCCGCAGUAA
rnacentral:rRNA from 1 species